GACGAACGCUGGCGGCGUGCCUAAUACAUGCAAGUCGAGCGGACCAAAGGGAGCUUGCUCCUGGAGGUUAGCGGCGAACGGGUGAGUAACACGUGGGCAACCUGCCUGUAAGACUGGGAUAACAUCGAGAAAUCGGUGCUAAUACCGGAUAAUAAAAAGAACUGCAUGGUUCUUUUUGAAAGAUGGUUUCGGCUAUCACUUACAGAUGGGCCCGCGGCGCAUUAGCUAGUUGGUGGGUAACGGCUCACCAAGGCGACGAUGCGUAGCCGACCUGAGAGGGUGAUCGGCCACACUGGGACUGAGACACGGCCCAGACUCCUACGGGAGGCAGCAGUAGGGAAUCUUCCGCAAUGGACGAAAGUCUGACGGAGCAACGCCGCGUGAGUGAUGAAGGUUUUCGGAUCGUAAAACUCUGUUGUUAGGGAAGAACAAGUGCCGUUCGAAAGGGCGGCACCUUGACGGUACCUAACGAGAAAGCCACGGCUAACUACGUGCCAGCAGCCGCGGU
rnacentral:rRNA from 1 species